UGGCUCAGUGGUUAAGAGCAUUGACUGUUCUUUCAGAGGACCUGGGUUCAAUUCCCAG
rnacentral:tRNA from 1 species